GCUGGACUAUGAUUGGCCAUUAAUUAAAAACAACGACAUGAAACUAAUCAAAGAUGCACUUGUUGCAUUCCACAGCAGCAGGUAAUUAUUGUUUACAUUUCCUUUCUGAGGCUCUUCAGCUUCUCAGGAGAAAAGUUCUUAGCAGAAAGAUUUUUCAUAAAAUAUUUCCAUGACAAUCUUGGGAGCGUUCAGUGCUGCUGGCCACGGGACGAGAGCUCUGUGUCCCCAGCGGAGGGGCUCCAACCCUCCCCAUGACUCUGCUGGCUGCAGGGCAGAGAUGUUUCUUGGCUUUUUUGGGUGCAGAUGGGGGUUUGGCUCACAAACAUCACUGCAGGGGCUUCCUGAGCCUGGUGUCACCCACCCUGUGCCUUGUGGGUGCUCAGGGAACAAGGAGAGGCAGUCAAAGCUGCCACGGAGGGGGAUGAAGACCCCCUGAGCCAGACCCGCGGUGGGCACUGAAGCCUCCAAAAGACUGGAGAUUUUUUGGAGCACCCCAAAAUCCAUCAAUCCCACCACAACCUCCUCCACUGAUGGAUCCAAGGUUUCUCCAGCAGCUCUGUGGCCCAGUGUUGCCAGCUCUCCUUUCCAGGCACACAAAAUUCAGUGUUUUGUACCAAAAAAAGCUUAAAUCAGCCCUCAGGGCUUCACUGGGGCUUUGCACAAGGGAGGUUUGGUUGGGGCUUGCUCUGUGCACGGCCUCCGAUCCAACACACCUCAGCUGGAUGGAUUUUCUCACACUUUGGACACAAAAAGGGGUAAAAUCCCCCCUUUUUUCCUGGAAUCAGCCACAACUCCUCCGUCUGCCCCAUCCCAAGCGUUUCCCCAGCUCCAGAACCACCCCAGAUGUGGCUGGAAGAGGGAUCACCCUUCCUGGAGACCCAAUCCCAGUGAAGCAAGUUGAAAAUGGGAGA